rnacentral:rRNA from 1 species
AUAAACAACGUGCCCUGAAGACUGGGAUAUACGGUCGAAAGGCCGAGCAAUACCGGAUGUGGCCGAGACUAGGCAUCUAGACUCGAUUAAAUGGUUUUUCGCUUCAGGAGCGGUUUAUGACUCAUCAGCUAGUUGGUAGGGUAAUGGCCUACCAAGGCUACGAUGGGUAGGGGGUCUGAGAGGAUGGUCCCCCCGAGUGGGACUGAGACACGGCC